GAUUAUCUCUUCAAUUGAUGAAGCUCACUUACACAUGAAAAGUAGAAACCUUAAAAGACCUCAAGUAUCCAUAAAGGCUCAAGCUUCACGAUGCCGUAAACAUGUAAAUGCCCAAGGGUUAAGAGCUGCUGCAUGUCCUUCGCGCUCCUCUAAGCCACCUACCUCAAAACACUUGAUGCUCCUCUAGCAAAGUUUAAGGAAGCACUCAUACAGCCACUAUAGCAAAUAUUUUUUUGUCCCUCUUAUUUUGAAAUUCCUCUAGGUUUUUUAUUCUUUUUUUUUCUAAUGUUGUUUCUCUAAUUCUGUUAAACACUAAAAAUAUUUUAUGUUUUGCAACACAUAUUCGACCCACCUAUCAGCCUAAUGCAGAAAAGAUUGGUGUGACUAAGGCUGCAAAUGGGUCGGGUCGACCCGAGACCUGAUCCGGCCCGACCCGUGUAGACCCGACCCGACCCGAAUUUUAGGACCCGCGGGUCCGAGUCGGGUCCUAAAAUUGGACCCGAAUCAUUUUAUGGGUCGGGUCUGGGUUUACCGAACGGACCCGACCCGACCCGAAUAGACCCAAGAAGAAAAAGAGAG
rnacentral:lncRNA from 1 species